UACGGGAGGCAGCAGUGGGGAAUAUUGCACAAUGGGCGCAAGCCUGAUGCAGCCAUGCCGCGUGUAUGAAAAAGGCCUUUCGGGUUGUAAAGUACUUUCAGUCGUGAGGAAGGUGUUAAGGUUAAUAACCUUAGCAAUUGACGUUAGCGACAGAAGAAGCACCGGCUAACUCCGUGCCAGCAGCCGCGGUAAUACGGAGGGUGCGAGCGUUAAUCGGAAUUACUGGGCGUAAAGGGCACGCAGGCGGUUAAUUAAGUUGGAUGUGAAAUCCCCGGGCUUAACCUGGGAAUGGCAUUCAAGACUGGUUAGCUAGAGUCUUGUAGAGGGGGUGAAUUCCAUGUGUAGCGGUGAAAUGCGUAGAGAUGUGGAGGAAUACCGGUGGCGAAGGCGGCCCCUGGACAAAGACUGACGCUCAUGUGCGAAAGCGUGGGGAGCAAACAGGGAUUAGAUACC
rnacentral:rRNA from 1 species